rnacentral:lncRNA from 1 species
CCGAUAUGGUGGGGCGUCGUGGAGAAGGAGGCCAUGGGGAAGUACGACUGGUCAGGCUACAUGGCCCUUGCCCAGACGAUCCGCGAUGCCGGCCUCCAGAUCCGCGCCUCCCUCUACUUCCACGCCUCCACCGAACCCGCUAUGCCUCUCCCGCAGUGGGUGUCCAAGAUCGGCGAAGCCAACCCGGACAUCUUCUUCACCGAUAGGGCCGGCAAGCGCCACAAGAACUGCCUCUCGCUGGCGGUCGAUGAGCUUCCCGUGCUGGAGGGUAAGACCCCGGUGGAGGUCUACGCGGGCGUCCUUCAGAGCUUCAGAGCCACCUUCUCAGAUUUCCUCGGUUCCACCAUCAAGGUAACUUGAACUUCAGCACUUUUUUCUCCCUCUCCGUUUCCUCGCCCAUCUGGUGAAAACGCCAUCUAAGAUUUGAGGAUUUUCCAUCCACCUGCAGGACGUUCUUGUUGGCCUCGGUCCAGAUGGUGAGCUGAAGUACCCGUCGCAGCAGCCGGCGCCGAGGAACAAGCAAGUCGCCGGAGUGGGGGAGUUCCAGUGCUACGACAGAAACAUGCUGAAUCGUCUCAAGGAGCACGCAGAGGCCACCGGGAACCAUUUCUGGGGUCUCUCCGGCCCCCACGACGCCCCCCAGUACAACGCGUCUCCCGAGUCCACCAAUUUCUUCAAGGAGCACGGAGGCUCGUGGGACACCCCCUACGGGAACUUCUUCCUCUCCUGGUAUUCCAGCCAGCUCGUCGCCCACGGCGACCGCCUCCUCUCCGCCGCCUCCACAGCCUUCGGGGAUCUCCCCGUGACCGUCUACGGCAAGGUCCCGGUGAUGCACGCCUGGUACAAGCACCGGUCCCACCCCUCCGAGCUCACCGCCGGCUACCACAACACGGCCAACUCCGACGGCUACGAGGCCAUCGCGGAGAUGUUCGCGAGGCACUCAUGCGGCAUGAUCCUCCCCGCCAUGGACCUCUCCGACGAGCACCAGCCGCCGGCCUCGCGGUCCAGCCCGGAGGCGCUUGUGGCGCAGAUCAUGAGGGCCUGCGAGAAGCACGGGGUCGCCGUCUCCGGGGAGAACUCCUCCCUCCGCGGCCCCCCCGACGUCGUCUUCGGCAAGAUCAAGGAGACCCUCUCCAAGGCCAAGCCGUCCCCGGUG